rnacentral:rRNA from 1 species
AGUGAACGCUGGCGGUAGGCCUAACACAUGCAAGUCGAACGGCAGCACAGAGGAGCUUGCUCCUUGGGUGGCGAGUGGCGGACGGGUGAGGAAUACAUCGGAAUCUACUCUGUCGUGGGGGAUAACGUAGGGAAACUUACGCUAAUACCGCAUACGACCUACGGGUGAAAGCAGGGGAUCUUCGGACCUUGCGCGAUUGAAUGAGCCGAUGUCGGAUUAGCUAGUUGGCGGGGUAAAGGCCCACCAAGGCGACGAUCCGUAGCUGGUCUGAGAGGAUGAUCAGCCACACUGGAACGUAGACACGGUCCAGACUCCUACGGGAGGCAGCAGUGGGGAAGAUUGGACAAUGGGCGCAAGCCUGAUCCAGCCAUACCGCGUGGGUGAAGAAGGCCUUCGGGUUGUGAAGCCCUUUAGGUCGGGAAGAAGAUUGCAGGUUGAUAAUGCCUGCAUGAUGACGGUACCGACAGAAUAAGCACCGGCAAACUCUGUGCCAGCCGCCGCGGUAA